UGCAGUGGGCGGCUGCUAUACAUGCAGUCGAGCGGACCGACGGGAGCUUGCUCCCUUAGGUCAGCGGCGGACGGGUGAGUAACACGUGGGUAACCUGCCUGUAAGACUGGGAUAACUCCGGGAAACCGGGGCUAAUACCGGAUGCUUGAUUGAACCGCAUGGUUCAAUCAUAAAAGGUGGCUUUUAGCUACCACUUACAGAUGGACCCGCGGCGCAUUAGCUAGUUGGUGAGGUAACGGCUCACCAAGGCGACGAUGCGUAGCCCACCUGAGAGGGUGAUCGGCCACACUGGGACUGAGACACGGCCCAGACUCCUACGGGAGGCAGCAGUAGGGAAUCUUCCGCAAUGGACGAAAGUCUGACGGAGCAACGCCGCGUGAGUGAUGAAGGUUUUCGGAUCGUAAAACUCUGUUGUUAGGGAAGAACAAGUACCGUUCGAAUAGGGCGGCACCUUGACGGUACCUAACCAGAAAGCCACGGCUAACUACGUGCCAGCAGCCGCGGUAAUACGUAGGUGGCAAGCGUUGUCCGGAAUUAUUGGGCGUAAAGCGCGCGCAGGCGGUUUCUUAAGUCUGAUGUGAAAGCCCCCGGCUCAACCGGGGAGGGUCAUUGGAAACUGGGGAACUUGAGUGCAGAAGAGGAGAGUGGAAUUCCACGUGUAGCGGUGAAAUGCGUAGAGAUGUGGAGGAACACCAGUGGCGAAGGCGACUCUCUGGUCUGUAACUGACGCUAAGGCGCGAAAGCGUGGGGAGCGAACAGGAUUAGAUACCCUGGUAGUCCACGCCGUAAACGAUGAGUGCUAAGUGUUAGAAGGUUUCCGCCCUUUAGUGCUGCAGCAAACGCAUUAAGCACUCCGCCUGGGGAGUACGGUCGCAAGACUGAAACUCAAAGGAAUUGACGGGGGCCCGCACAAGCGGUGGAGCAUGUGGUUUAAUUCGAAGCAACGCGAAGAACCUUACCAGGUCUUGACAUCCUCUGACAACCCUAGAGAUAGGGCUUCCCCUUCGGGGGCAGAGUGACAGGUGGUGCAGGGUUGUCGUCAGCUCCUGUCGUGAGAUGUUGGGUUAAUUCCCCCACGAGGGCAACCCUGAUCUUAGUUGCAGCAUUCAUUUGGGACUCUAA
rnacentral:rRNA from 1 species